CCUACGGGAGGCAGCAGUGGGGAAUUUUCCGCAAUGGGCGAAAGCCUGACGGAGCAAUACCGCGUGAGGGAAGACUGCCUAUGGGUUGUAAACCUCUUUUUUCAGGGAGGAAUAAAAUGACGUGUACCUGAAGAAUAAGCAUCGGCUAACUCCGUGCCAGCAGCCGCGGUAA
rnacentral:rRNA from 1 species